AAUGGGGAAACCCAGUGUGUUUCGACACACUAUCAUUAACUGAAUCCAUAGGUUAAUGAGGCGAACCGGGGGAACUGAAACAUCUAAGUACCCCGAGGAAAAGAAAUCAACCGAGAUUCCCCCAGUAGCGGCGAGCGAACGGGGAGCAGCCCAGAGCCUGAAUCAGUGUGUGUGUUAGUGGAAGCGUCUGGAAAGGCGCGCGAUACAGGGUGACAGCCCCGUACACAAAAAUGCACAUGCUGUGAGCUCGAUGAGUAGGGCGGGACACGUGGUAUCCUGUCUGAAUAUGGGGGGACCAUCCUCCAAGGCUAAAUACUCCUGACUGACCGAUAGUGAACCAGUACCGUGAGGGAAAGGCGAAAAGAACCCCGGCGAGGGGAGUGAAAAAGAACCUGAAACCGUGUACGUACAAGCAGUGGGAGCCUCUUUAUGGGGUGACUGCGUACCUUUUGU
rnacentral:rRNA from 1 species